UACAGGGGGUGCAAACGUUGCUCGGAAUCAUUGGGCGUAAAGCGCACGUAGGCGGUUCGUUAUGUCGGAUGUGAAAGCCCUUGGCUUAACCGAGGAAGUGCAUCCGAAACUGGCGAGCUAGAGUACUAAAGAGGAUCGCGGAAUUCCCGGUGUAGAGGUGAAAUUCGUAGAUAUCGGGAGGAACACCGGUGGCGAAGGCGGCGAUCUGGGUAGAUACUGACGCUGAGGUGCGAAAGCUAGGGGAGCAAACAGG
rnacentral:rRNA from 1 species